CGCAAGUGCGAAGAAGCAAGGUAAAAGCAGAACACGCCAACAAGCAACGUCCACGGCACCGAUUAUCGCCUCUUCUUUCUUCCCAUUAUCAGUACGGCAGCGCCGUGGUCCUGCCCCCACCGCCGCCCCUUUUACCGUAGUGCCUUUUAGUAGCAGUAGCACUAGAGUCGGGCCUGCUUGCCCGAAUCCGCUUUCCGAGACCGCUAAUCGUUGUCUCGGUGUGCGCGCGGGCGUUAGCAGCCCACCCCCGUAGCAAUCCAAGGAGGUAGGGAAGGGCAUCUCGACGCCGACUGAGAGACUCACCAAGUGAGACAUAGGGAUCACGAAAGAAUAGAAAAACACCCACCAUCGGCGUCUGCGGAGCCUGAACGUUUCCCUUUGACCCCGCGAAACGACAGGACGCUGCUGCGCGGUCUGAGAAGGGCUGAGGCAGGGGAGGCCACGGGGAGUACGAGAGCCCGCUACGAUUCACAACUGCUGAGGAGCGUGUUGCCCAUACAUACACACACACACACACACAGACUCACCCUCUUUUCACAUCUUCCCGCCACCCUCUCCCCAUCUCAGCUGCUGCUGCUGCUGCUCAUUUCUGUUGCUUUCUUGAUUUCCUUUCCCGAUGAAGCGUUUUGCGCAUGCGGCGCUCGGCCGCCUGCUGCUCGCAUCGGCCGCGCUUACCUCGUCCUCGCUGUCCACGCCGUCUCUGUGGACCGCGUGUCGCUCCUUCAAGUCGGAUGGGACGCCGUACAACUCGGAGAUGACGGACAUCGCACACGGUAGCAGGUACAACCGCGACGCAGCGGCCAGCACGGCUGCCGAGCAAGUUGCGGCGGGUCAGUACGCUGAAAACAAGCCGCGCGCCAUCAUGUUUGUCAACAAGCGCCCGGUUGAGAUCAUUCCGCAGGAGGAGAACGUGCUAGAGGUUCUGGAGCGGGAGGGCAUCACCGUACCAAAGUUCUGCUACCACCCCAUCCUCUCCGUAGCCGGAAACUGCCGUAUGUGCAUGGUGCAGGUGGAUGGCACUCAGAACAUCGUCGUCGCCUGCUCCACUGUGGCGUUACCUGGCAUGUCCAUCAUCACCGACAGCCGCCUCGUGCGCGACGCCCGCGAGGGCAACGUGGAGCUUAUCCUGAUCAACCACCCGAAUGACUGCCCGAUUUGCGAGCAGGCCACCAACUGCGAUCUGCAGAACGUGAGCAUGAACUACGGUACCGAUAUCCCGCGCUACCGCGAGGACAAGAAAGCCGUCGAGGACUUCUACUUUGACCCCCAGACACGCGUCGUGCUCAACCGCUGCAUCCACUGCACCCGCUGCAUCCGCUUCCUGAACGAGCACGCGCAGGACUUCAACCUCGGCCAGAUUGGCCGCGGCGGGCUGAGCGAAAUUUCCACCUUUCUAGAUGAACUGGAGGUGAAGACGGACAACAAUAUGCCCGUGUCUCAGCUAUGUCCCGUCGGGAAGCUGUACAUGGGCGAUGCAGACGAGAACAACGACAUAGUGCGCACGCUCGAGGCUGCGGGGGCAACGGCGUGAAAGGGCUGCCCUGUUGCCUGCCGCCUGAUCAGUGCUCGUGCGCGUCUGCCCCUCUCUCUGUGUGCAGGUGCCGCGGCCUCUUGUUUUCGCGCCACUUCUGCACCUUGUCUCUUGAUAUGGCGUGCUAGCGCCAGUGGACGCGCCCGGCAUGCGCACACAGGCACUUACCCUGAAGAGCACAAUUGCUCAGCUACGCAGUGGAUGAGGUGGCCAUAGCGAGAGAAAAACGGCGGCAGCGUCACGGAGAGCACUGCCUUUCGCUGCUUCACGAGCCCCCUUUCUUGUGCUGGCAGCAAUGAAGGAAAGCCGAGCAGCUGUGAGCUGAAAGAGACCAAGGGCACUCAUGUAUCAUCUUCUUUCCGUUCUUUUUUCUUGGCGUGCAGCAACCCCCCUGACCCCUCCCCCAUCGCGUCCCACCACGAGACCCACCACCGUGCCUUUCAGGCCGUUCACGAUUGGUGUGCUCCAGGUGGUGCUCCAUGAAGUCGACUACGGCCCCGCCCCGAGCCUCGACGAGGUUCGCUGUGAGAGCGUCAAGGCUGUACCGACGCACGGAAAGAGGGGCGCCGCUGGAUAUUUGCAACCAGAGCGUCGCCACCGGCCGCGUCGCUUCUACAUGGAAAGGAUAGGCUCACCGUGCCCCCUUCCCCUCGCCUGCAGCCGCACGUGCCCGAUGGUGUGGCCCCGUGCCCUACUGUCUCUGUGACACUGACCCGUGAUCUGCGCAACCCACAUGAGCAACGUACCUCGCGACGACUGCGCGACCAUCUGGGACACAAACUCCAGCCACGGCAGCCUGACUGCCGUCCCCACCGCUCCACUGCAGACCGCGCGGGCUUGCUCUCCCGCACGGCGGCCCAGCACCAGCCAGGUGCCGCUAUAGGGGCGGCGUCUGUGGGCUCGACGCUCACGCCUUCGGCUCGGUAGGCCACGGCGCUGAAGAAGUGCGGCGUAGACCCGCGCCAUGCUGUGGGAUGCCGCGGCUUUAAGAGGCUGAGGGGGAAAAAGCAUGGCAUGCAUGCCGAGUGCGGGGCCUGGGAGGGCCCUGACCUGCGGGUGGCCGACUUUCUCCCUGGUCUCAUCCGGCAUGCACCUGCACCACUGUCUCUGCCCUCGAUGAGGACACUGAAGGCGGCCCCGCUUUGGGUCAAGGCAUGCGGUCUAGCCGAGUGUGUCUAGCGCCGGCCGCGCGGCACGUAACCGCAGAAGGGACGAUGAAGGACGAGACGAGCCCGCUAGACGCAUGACCUCAUUCGGUGUCAGGACGGCUCCAUCUGGUCGACCAGGGUUUAGCCGCAGUGUGACAGCGGCAAGUGAGGUGUGGUUGUGCAUGCUUGUCUAUGCGUUGGCUUGUACGUGGGUAUAGUGCGAAGACGCCGAUGGGAAAGAGAGCUUAAAUGCGAGGGGCGAUUGGGGUGACUAGCGAAUAGCGGGAGGAGGGGACGUGUGCGUCGAACUCACUUCCUUCCUUCUGCACGGGCUUAUUUGACCCUUCUGCCUUGACCGUCCGCACCAGCUCCCCGCUUCUUCGGGGGUGAGGGAGUGGUAGCUUCCGCCGUUCGUUGCUCUUGCGUUGCCCUGCUUUUUCUGGGCGUGGGCUCGUUUGGUUCUCGUGUUGGCUUCGCUCUGUUCUCCUUGACGAGGAAGGCGGGGACGGGUUUGAUCGGCUCUCCGCAGAAUCGGUGCAGCGUGUCGGCAGACGAAGAAGAAAGCGGCGAAGGGCACCGCGAAAGGGCAAUGUAGGCGUCGUGUUUGUGGUGCAGAAGCGAGGACCCGGUUCAACCGGGCACGCUCGCGGCUGCCUACCUGGAGAGGUGACGUUGCGUAUCGUGCAUCCUCGGAUGGCUUGAUGGAGCGCG
rnacentral:misc_RNA from 1 species